AGAGUUUGAUCCUGGCUCAGGAUGAACGCUAGCGGCAGGCUUAAUACAUGCAAGUCGAGGGGCAGCAUGACUGUAGCAAUACAGUUGAUGGCGACCGGCAAACGGGUGCGGAACACGUACAGAACCUUCCUUCGAGCGGGGAAUAGCCCAGAGAAAUUUGGAUUAAUACCCCAUAGUAUUACGGAGUGGCAUCACUUUGUAAUUAAAGAUUUAUCACUUGAAGAUGGCUGUGCGGCUGAUUAGGUAGUUGGCGGGGUAACGGCCCACCAAGCCUGCGAUCAGUAACUGGUGUGAGAGCACGACCAGUCACACGGGCACUGAGACACGGGCCCGACUCCUACGGGAGGCAGCAGUAAGGAAUAUUGGUCAAUGGACGAAAGUCUGAACCAGCCAUGCCGCGUGGAGGAUGAAGGUCCUCUGGAUUGUAAACUUCUUUUAUAUGGGACGAAAAAAGGCUUUUCUAAGUCGUCUGACGGUACCAUAUGAAUAAGCACCGGCUAACUCCGUGCCAGCAGCCGCGGUAAUACGGAGGGUGCAAGCGUUAUCCGGAUUCACUGGGUUUAAAGGGUGCGUAGGUGGGUUGGUAAGUCAGUGGUGAAAUCUCCGAGCUUAACUUGGAAACUGCCAUUGAUACUAUCAGUCUUGAAUAUUGUGGAGGUUAGCGGAAUAUGUCAUGUAGCGGUGAAAUGCUUAGAUAUGACAUAGAACACCAAUUGCGAAGGCAGCUGGCUACACAUAUAUUGACACUGAGGCACGAAAGCGUGGGGAUCAAACAGGAUUAGAUACCCUGGUAGUCCACG
rnacentral:rRNA from 1 species